rnacentral:rRNA from 1 species
GACGAACGCUGGCGGCGUGCCUAAUACAUGCAAGUCGAACGCAGUGGGGACGGGUGAGUAACACGUGGGUAACCUCCCAUCAGAGGGGAUAACACUUGGAAACAGGUGCUAAACUGAUAUUGAUGGAUUGACCUGCGGUGCAUUAGCUAGUUGGUGAGGUAACGGCUCACCAAGGCCACGAUAAAUAGCCGGCCGGAGAGGGGGAUCGGCCACACUGGGACGGAGAAACGGCCCAGACUCCUACGGAAGGAAGCAGUAGGGAAUCUUCGGCAAUGGACGAAAGUCUGACCGAGCAACGCCGCGUGAGUGAAGAAGGUUUUCGGAUCGUAAAACUCUGUUGUUAGAGAAGCGGUAUCUAACCAGAAAGCCACGGCUAACGACGUGCCAGCAGCCGCGGUAAUUC